CGCGAAGAACCUUACCAGGUCUUGACAUCCUCUGACAACCCUAGAGAUAGGGCUUCCCCUUCGGGGGCAGAGUGACAGGUGGUGCAUGGUUGUCGUCAGCUCGUGUCGUGAGAUGUUGGGUUAAGUCCCGCAACGAGCGCAACCCUUGAUCUUAGUUGCCAGCAUUCAGUUGGGCACUCUAAGGUGACUGCCGGUGACAAACCGGAGGAAGGUGGGGAUGACGUCAAAUCAUCAUGCCCCUUAUGACCUGGGCUACACACGUGCUACAAUGGGCAGAACAAAGGGCAGCGAAGCCGCGAGGCUAAGCCAAUCCCACAAAUCUGUUCUCAGUUCGGAUCGCAGUCUGCAACUCGACUGCGUGAAGCUGGAAUCGCUAGUAAUCGCGGAUCAGCAUGCCGCGGUGAAUACGUUCCCGGGUCUUGUACACACCGAAA
rnacentral:rRNA from 1 species